rnacentral:lncRNA from 1 species
GGAAUAUCCUUAUAACUAAAUCUUUUGGCAUAUCCAAGAUUUUUUGGGUAAUUAUAGAAACUCUUAAGAAAAUCUUAAAGGAAAAAUUACUAUCUUUCAAAUGUGAACAUUUUAUAUAUACAUACUGCCUUGUUGCAUUUACAUUUUUUCCUCUUGGAUAUGUGAAAAUGGCAUCUCAUUUUAAUUUGCAUUUCUUUGAUUAGAAAAAAGGUUGAACAUUUUAAAAUGUAUUUAUUGGUCAUUGUAUUGUUUUUGUUUGUCCCCAUCUUUUGCCCAUUUUUCAUGGAAGUGAUUAUUGUCUUACUGCUUUUCAUCAUAAGCUCCAUUCUACUAUUUGAUUUCUUACAUGUGAAUAAAUUAAAACCUCAUUUAAUGGGGCGCCUGGGUGGCUCAGUCAGUUAAGCUUCUGACUUUGGCUCAGGUCGUGAUCUCGCAGUUUGUGAGUUUGAGCCCCGCGUCAGGCUCCACGCUGACAGUGUGGAGCCUGCUUGAAGUUCUCUCUCUCCCUCUCUCUCUGCUCCUCCACUACUUGCAUGCUCGCUCUCUCUCUCUCUCUCAAAAUUAAUUAAUUAAUUGAUUAAAAACCUCAUUUAAGGGGUGCCUGGGUAGCUUAGUCAGUUGAGAAUCUGACUAUGGCUCAGGUCAUGAUCUCAUGGUUCAUGAGUUCGAGCCUUACAUCAGGCUCUGUGCUGACAGCUUGGAGCCUGGAGCCUGCUUCCAAUUCUGUCUCCUUCUCUCUCUGCCCCUUCCCUGCUCAUGCUCUGUCUCUAUCUCUCAAAAAUAAAUAAACAUUAAAAAAUUAAAAAAAAAAAAAGAAAAACAACCUCAUUUAAGUCUAAUGCUAAUGUUUAUUUUUAUGUUUUUAUAUAUCAUGAUCUCUCAAGCUUUGCCUUAUAUUUUCCACCUUUGGUGAAAUGUUUUCAAAUGCUUCUAAAGAUUUUAUAAAUAUUCACAAAUAUUUUAUGAUAGUUUUAUGAUUUUGGUUUUUCAAACAUUGUCAUCUUUAAUUUACAUGCACUCUGUCUUGAUGUUGGUGCCGAAUAGGGAUAGAACCUUGUGUUUUGUUAUCCCCAAAUGUUUAGGCCAGUCAUCCAUCUCAAAGGAGAUUUUUUUCUUUUUAAUGUUUUGUUUAUUUUUGAGACAGCACGAGUCGGGAGGAGGCAGAGACAGAGAGGGACAGAGAAUCUGAAGCGGGCUCCACGCUGACAGCAGCAAGCCCAAUGUGGGGCUUGAACCCAUGAACCAAACCAUGAGAUCAUGACCUGAGCCGAAAUCGGAGGCUCAACCCACUGAGCCCCCCAGGUGCCCCUCAAAGGAGAUGGUUAGUCUUAGGAGAUUUUUUUUUUUUUUAGAGAGAACGAGCAGGAGACAGGCAGAGGGAGAGAGAGAGAGAAUCCAAAGCAGGCUCCAAGCUCAAUGCAGAGCCCGAUGUGGUGCUCAAACUCAAGAGCCAUGAGAUCAUGGCCUGAGCUGAAGUCAGAUGCUUUACCGACUGAGCCACCCAGGUGCCCCAGGCAAUCUUAAGAGAUAUUUCAUGCCAAGAGGAAGAGACAUAAAUUUAUAUCCUUUGGAGAGAAAAGAUACAAUAAGUGAAAUUAUCUCUCACUUGAUAAAUCAUUCUUAUGUGUAUAGGAUGCAACUAUUAUUUACUUUUUCAAUUUAGUCAUACAGGGAAUUGAGAAUAUAUCUCAUACUUUAGUUGAAAAGAGUCCUUAAAACAUUUUUUCCCCUAAGGUGUUUUUAUUUUUUUUGAAAUAGUGUUUCUCAUUCCUAAGCAGUAUAGAUUAGCAUCUGGAGAUUAUCCUUAAUAUAUAUCAUUAUCUAAAGAUAAUCAACUUCUUAAUCAACUUCUUAAUGAAAAUACCUUUUUGCUUCUUGGAUGUUCAAGUUUAAAAUUUUCUCUCUGUAGGUUAUUUAAUAUUAGUCUUUAAAGGCUAAAAAAGCUACCUUUGGAAUAGACAUCCUGAUUUUAAAGUAAGUAUCUUAUCUUCAUCUGUUUUAAUUAUAUAAUGAUUAAGUUUGGAACACUGCAUUAAUCAUAAUUUAAAAUCAUGAAGAUAAGAGGUAAUGAGGAUACUAUGAAUUUGUAUUUUGUUUCUUGUAAAAUUUAAACAAGUGUGCUUUUUUCCACAUUUAAAAUGUUUUUCUUCUGAGAUCACUGUAGUUGGUUUUUAAAUUUGCUAGAUCUUAGAAUAUGACUCUUGUAAAUAUGCUACUCUAAGAGAUCCUUAUUGAAUUAGAAAGUUUCCAUUUUUCUUGCUUAUCCCCAUUCUGUAGUCACUAGAACUGGUACAUAUAUUCUUUCAUUCAUUUAAGAAAUAUUUAUUGCUCACUUACUGUGUUCUUGGCACUAUUCUGGGCUCUGGGGAUACAGCAAUAAACAAGACAAUUUU